rnacentral:rRNA from 1 species
UCUGGGAUUAGAUACCCUGUUAUUUAAAAUGUAAUUUAAUAAACUUGAGUAGUAAUAGUUAUGUUCUUUAAACUUAAAAAAUUUGGCGGUAUUUUAUUCUAUUCAGAGGAACCUGUUUUAUAAUCGAUAAUCCACGAUGUACCUCACUUAAGUUUGUUAUUAGUAUGUAUACCGUCGUUAUAGAAUAUUUUAUAAGAAUAAUAAUUUUCAAUAAUUUUUAUUAAAAUAAAUAUCAGAUCAAGGUGCAGCUUAUGUUUAAGUAAUAAUGGGUUACAAUAAAUUUAUUUUUGGAUAUAAAUAUGAAAAAUUUAUUGAAAUUGGAUUUGAUAGUAAAAUUAAAUAGAUUAUUAAUUUGAUUAUAGUUCUAAAAUAUGUACAAAUCGCCCGUCACUCUC